AACGAACGCUGGCGGCAGGCCUAAAACAUGCAAGUCGAACGAACCUUCGGGUUAGUGGCGCACGGGUGAGUAACGCGUGGGAAUGUGCCUCUCGGGUGCGGAACAAACGUCGGGAAACUGACGCUAAUACCGCAUAAUGUCUACGGACCAAAGAUUUAUCGCCCAGAGAUCAGCCCGCGUCUGAUUAGCUAGUUGGUGAGGUAACGGCUCACCAAGGCUACGAUCAGUAGCUGGUCUGAGAGGAUGAUCAGCCACACUGGAACUGAGACACGGUCCAGACUCCUACGGGAGGCAGCAGUUAGGAAUAUUGGACAAUGGGGGAAACCCUGAUCCAGCCAUGCCGCGUGUGUGAAGAAGGCCUUAGGGUUGUAAAGCACUUUCGGCUGUGAAGAUAAUGACAGUAGCAGAAGAAGAAGCUCCGGCUAAAUUCGUG
rnacentral:rRNA from 1 species